rnacentral:rRNA from 1 species
GACGAACGCUGGCGGCGUGCUUAACACAUGCAAGUCGAACGGAAAGGCCCUGCUUUUGUGGGGUGCUCGAGUGGCGAACGGGUGAGUAACACGUGAGUAACCUGCCCUUGACUUUGGGAUAACUUCAGGAAACUGGGGCUAAUACCGGAUAGGAGCUCCUGCUGCAUGGUGGGGGUUGGAAAGUUUCGGCGGUUGGGGAUGGACUCGCGGCUUAUCAGCUUGUUGGUGGGGUAGUGGCUUACCAAGGCUUUGACGGGUAGCCGGCCUGAGAGGGUGACCGGCCACCUUGGGACUGCGAUACGGCCCAGACUCCUACGGGAGGCAGCAGUGGGGAAUAUUGCACAAUGGGCGGAAGCCUGAUGCAGCAACGCCGCGUGCGGGAUGACGGCCUUCGGGUUGUAAACCGCUUUCGCCUGUGACGAAGCGUGAGUGACGGUAAUUGGUAAAGAAGCACCGGCUAACUACGU